rnacentral:rRNA from 1 species
GAUGAACGCUGGCGGCGUGCCUAAUACAUGCAAGUCGAGCGAACGGACGAGAAGCUUGCUUCUCUGAUGUUAGCGGCGGACGGGUGAGUAACACGUGGAUAACCUACCUAUAAGACUGGGAUAACUUCGGGAAACCGUAGCUAAUACCGGAUAAUAUUUUGAACCGCAUGGUUCAAAAGUGAAAGACGGUCUCGCUGUCACUUAUAGAUGGAUCCGCGCUGCAUUAGCUAGUUGGUAAGGUAACGGCUUACCAAGGCAACGAUGCAUAGCCGACCUGAGAGGGUGAUCGGCCACACUGGAACUGAGACACGGUCCAGACUCCUACGGGAGGCAGCAGUAGGGAAUCUUCCGCAAUGGGCGAAAGCCUGACGGAGCAACGCCGCGUGAGUGAUGAAGGUCUUCGGAUCGUAAAACUCUGUUAUUAGGGAAGAACAUAUGUGUAAGUAACUGUGCACAUCUUGACGGUACCUAAUCAGAAAGCCACGGCUAACUACGUG